UUCCGGUUGAUCCUGCCGGAGGUUACUGCUAUCGGGGUUCGAUUAAGCCAUGCAAGUUAAAUGUUUUUCGUAAACAUAGCGAACUGCUCAGUAACACGUGGAUAACUUAACCUUAGGUCCGGCAUAACCCCGGGAAACUGGGGAUAAUUCCGGAUGUAUCAAGGAUGCUGGAAUGCCCUUUGGUUCAAAGCUUUUGUGCCUAAGGAUAGGUCUGCGGUCUAUCAGGUUGUAGUGGGUGUAACGUACCUACUAGCCGACGACGGAUACGGGUUGUGAGAGCAAGAGCCCGGAGAUGGAUUCUGAGACAAGAAUCCAGGCCCUACGGGGUGCAGCAGGCGCGAACACUUUACAAUGCGGGAAACCGCGAUAAGGGAACCCCGAGUGCCAGUACUAAGUGCUGGCUGUCUAGAUGAAUAGAUAUCAUUUAAUAGCAAGGGCCGGGCAAGACCGGUGCCAGCCGCCGCGGUAACACCGGCGGCCCGAGUGGUAACCGAUAUUAUUGGGUCUAAAGGGUCCGUAGCCUGUUUAAUAAGUCCUUUGGGAAAUCUGGCAGCUUAACUGUCAGGCUGCUAAAGGAUACUGUUAAACUUGGGACCGGUAGACGUAGGGGGUACUCCAGGGGUAGGAGUGAAAUCUUGUAAUCCCUGGGGGACCAUCUGUGGCGAAGGCGCCCUACGAGAACGGGUCCGACGGUGAGGGACGAAAGCUAGGGGAGCAAACCGGAUUAGAUACCCGGGUAGUCCUAGCUGUAAACGAUGCUCGCUAGGUGUCAGGCACGGUGCGUCCGUGUCUGGUGCCGCAGGGAAGCCGUUAAGCGAGCCACCUGGGGAGUACGGUCGCGAGGCUGAAACUUAAAGGAAUUGGCGGGGGAGCACUACAACGGGUGGAGCCUGCGGUUUAAUUGGAUUCAACGCCGGA
rnacentral:rRNA from 1 species